UACGUAGGUCCCGAGCGUUGUCCGGAUUUAUUGGGCGUAAAGCGAGCGCAGGUGGUUUAUUAAGUCUGGUGUAAAAGGCGGUGGCUCAACCAUUGUAUGCAUUGGAAACUGGUAGACUUGAGUGCAGGAGAGGAGAGUGGAAUUCCAUGUGUAGCGGUGAAAUGCGUAGAUAUAUGGAGGAACACCGGUGGCGAAAGCGGCUCUCUGGUCUGUAACUGACGCUGAGGUUCGAAAGCGUGGGUAGCAAACAGG
rnacentral:rRNA from 1 species